GUUGUAACCCAUGUUUGACAUAUCGCACAGAAAGCGCGGAUAAGGGGUUCCAAGUGUCCAUAUCCCCAAAGCACUUUUCUAGAGGGAAAGAGCUUUGGGAAUAAGGGGGGGGUAAGACUAGGGCCAGCCGCCGCGUUAAAACUAGCAUCCCAAGUGGCAGUCACCUUUAUUUUUUUUAAAGCGUUCGUGGCUUGUCUGGAAAACCUCUGGUGAAAUCUUGCGGUUUACCCGUGGGGUUUGCCGGGGAAACUAAUAAACUUGAGGACGGGGGAGGAUUGGGGACUUUUGGGGUAGGGGGAAAACCCUAUAACCCUAAAAGGACACCUUGGCGAAGGCCCAUUUUUGAAUUCCCUGAAAGUGGGGAACGAGACCCAGGGCCCGAAUCGAUUUAAAUCCCGUGGAGUCCUGGCGGUAAAGGAUGUUGAUUAGGGGGGGGUUUCUUAGGACCAUGCUAUGCCGAAGGGAAACCGUAAGUCAACCCCUGGGGGUACGCCCCAAGG
rnacentral:rRNA from 1 species